rnacentral:rRNA from 1 species
UACAGAGGUCCCAAGCGUUGUUCGGAUUUACUGGGCGUAAAGGGUGCGUAGGUGGCGAGGUAAGUUCGAUGUGAAAUCUCCGAGCUCAACUCGGAAAUGGCAUUGAAUACUAUCCCGCUUGAGGGUCGGAGGGGAGACUGGAAUUCUCGGUGUAGCAGUGAAAUGCGUAGAUAUCGAGAGGAACACCAGUGGCGAAGGCGGGUUGCUGGGCUGACACUGACGCUGAUGCGCGAAAGCCAGGGGAGCGAACGGG